rnacentral:rRNA from 1 species
AAGUCGAACGCGUUGGCCCAAUUGAUUGACGGUGCUUGCAUCUGAUUGAUUUUGGUCGCCAACGAGUGGCGGACGGGUGAGUAACACGUAGGUAACCUGCCCAGAAGCGGGGGACAACAUUUGGAAACAGAUGCUAAUACCGCAUAACAGCGUUGUUCGCAUGAACAACGCUUAAAAGAUGGCUUCUCGCUAUCACUUCUGGAUGGACCUGCGGUGCAUUAGCUUGUUGGUGGGGUAACGGCCUACCAAGGCGAUGAUGCAUAGCCGAGUUGAGAGACUGAUCGGCCACAAUGGGACUGAGACACGGCCCAUACUCCUACGGGAGGCAGCAGUAGGGAAUCUUCCACAAUGGGCGCAAGCCUGAUGGAGCAACACCGCGUGAGUGAAGAAGGGUUUCGGCUCGUAAAGCUCUGUUGUUAAAGAAGAACACGUAUGAGAGUAACUGUUCAUACGUUGACGGUAUUUAACCAGAAAGUCACGGCUAACUACGUGCCAGCAGCCGCGGUAAUACGUAGGUGGCAAGCGUUAUCCGGAUUUAUUGGGCGUAAAGAGAGUGCAGGCGGUUUUCUAAGUCUGAUGUGAAAGCCUUCGGCUUAACCGGAGAAGUGCAUCGGAAACUGGAUAACUUGAGUGCAGAAGAGGGUAGUGGAACUCCAUGUGUAGCGGUGGAAUGCGUAGAUAUAUGGAAGAACACCAGUGGCGAAGGCGGCUACCUGGUCUGCAACUGACGCUGAGACUCGAAAGCAUGGGUAGCGAACAGGAUUAGAUACCCUGGUAGUCCAUGCCGUAAACGAUGAGUGCUAGGUGUUGGAGGGUUUCCGCCCUUCAGUGCCGGAGCUAACGCAUUAAGCACUCCGCCUGGGGAGUACGACCGCAAGGUUGAAACUCAAAGGAAUUGACGGGGGCCCGCACAAGCGGUGGAGCAUGUGGUUUAAUUCGAAGCUACGCGAAGAACCUUACCAGGUCUUGACAUCUUGCGCCAACCCUAGAGAUAGGGCGUUUCCUUCGGGAACGCAAUGACAGGUGGUGCAUGGUCGUCGUCAGCUCGUGUCGUGAGAUGUUGGGUUAAGUCCCGCAACGAGCGCAACCCUUGUUACUAGUUGCCAGCAUUAAGUUGGGCACUCUAGUGAGACUGCCGGUGACAAACCGGAGGAAGGUGGGGACGACGUCAGAUCAUCAUGCCCCUUAUGACCUGGGCUACACACGUGCUACAAUGGACGGUACAACGAGUCGCGAACUCGCGAGGGCAAGCAAAUCUCUUAAAACCGUUCUCAGUUCGGACUGCAGGCUGCAACUCGCCUGCACGAAGUUGGAAUCGCUAGUAAUCGCGGAUCAGCAUGCCGCGGUGAAUACGUUCCCGGGCCUUGUACACACCGCCCGUCACACCAUGAGAGUUUGUAACACCCAAAGUCGGUGGGGUAACCUUUUAGGAACCAGCCGCCUAAGGUGGGACAGAUGAUUAGGGUGAAGUC